AUUGAACGCUAGCGGGAUGCUUUACACAUGCAAGUCGAACCAGCGGCGGACGGGUGAGUAAUGUAUGGGGACUGCCCGAUAGCGGGGGAUAACUACUGGAAACGGUAGCUAACACCGCUUACUAUCGGAUAACUCAUAUGGGAUUAGCUAGUAGGUGCGGUAAUGACUCACCUAGGCGACGAUCCUUAGCUGGUCUGAGAGGAUGAUCAGCCACACUGGGACUGAGACACAGCCCAGACGCCUACGGUGGCAGCAGUGGGGAGUGUUGAACAACGGGCGCAAGCAUGAUGCAGCCAUAGCGCGUGUAUGAAGAAGGCCCUAGGGUUGUGAAGUACUUUCAGUCGGGAGGCGUUACCGACAGAAGAGGCAACGGAUAACUACGUGCCAGCAGCCGCGGUAAUUG
rnacentral:rRNA from 1 species